rnacentral:rRNA from 1 species
AGAGUUUGAUCCUGGCUCAGGACAAACGCUGGCGGCGUGCGUAAAACAUGCAAGUCGAACGCCCUGGCUUCGGCCGGGGAGUGGCAGACGGCUGAGUAACGCGUAGGAACCUGCCCGCGCGUGGGGGACAACCUCCCGAAAGGGGGGCUAAUACCGCAUACGCCGGGGCUUCGGCCCCGGGAAAGCCUCACGGUGCGCGCGGAGGGGCCUGCGUCCGAUUAGCUUGUUGGUGGGGUGAUGGCCUACCAAGGCGGCGACGGGUAGCCGGCCUGAGAGGGCGACCGGCCACACUGGGACUGAGACACGGCCCAGACUCCUACGGGAGGCAGCAGUGGGGAAUAUUGCGCAAUGGGCGGAAGCCUGACGCAGCGACGCCGCGUGGGGGAUGACGGCCUUCGGGUUGUAAACCUCUUUCGACCUCGACGAAGCCUUUGGGUGACGGUAGGGGUAGAAGAAGCACCGGCCAACUACGUGCCAGCAGCCGCGGUAAUACGUAGGGUGCGAGCGUUGUCCGGAAUUAUUGGGCGUAAAGAGCUCGUAGGCGGUGUGUCGCGUCGGUCGUGAAAACUUUCAGCUUAACUGGGAGCUUGCGGUCGAUACGGGCAUCACUGGAGUUCGGCAGGGGAGACUGGAAUUCCUGGUGUAGCGGUGAAAUGCGCAGAUAUCAGGAGGAACACCGGUGGCGAAGGCGGGUCUCUGGGCCGAUACUGACGCUGAGGAGCGAAAGCGUGGGGAGCGAACAGGAUUAGAUACCCUGGUAGUCC